rnacentral:rRNA from 1 species
UACGGGGGGGGGCAAGCGUUGUUCGGAAUUACUGGGCGUAAAGGGCUCGUAGGCGGCCAACUAAGUCAGACGUGAAAUCCCCAGGCUCAACCUGGGAACUGCGUCUGAUACUGGAUGGCUUGAAUUCGGGAGAGGGAUGCAGAAUUCCAGGUGUAGCGGUGAAAUGCGUAGAUAUCUGGAGGAACACCGGUGGCGAAGGCGGCAUCCUGGACCGGCAUUGACGCUGAGGCGCGAAAGCUAGGGGAGCAAACGGG